rnacentral:tRNA from 1 species
GUGGCGCUGUGGGCUGGCCGUUCCGACCGCGGCUUCCUGCGCCGCCUGCCGAUGGUCGGCUUGCUGGUGCUGGCCGGCAACAUCGCGC